GAUCAUUGAUAGUAAGUUUGUGCAACGGAGAACAUCGUCGUUGCCAUCGUGAUUCGAUGGCGAUGUCACACCAUUCGAAAAUGUGUGCAAAUCGACCAUAAAAUCAAACGAAAACGAUUCAAUCGUUUCAACAACAACAACAACAACAACACACCAAUUUAUAUUUACCACCCACGAGUGCGAAAUCAGUUUGUGAAUAGUUGUGAUUUAAAUUUGAAAAAUUUGUUUUAAGCAACAAAAGGAAAAUUUAUCAACAAUGAAAAAUUCCGGAAAAUCAAUCGAUUCACGUUGCCAGUUCGAUGUGAAUCAAAAUCAAUUUCGUUGUGAUCGUAAAUAAAACUGCAGUCAUCAUUACAAAAAAAUAACACGAAUGACGAAUCAACGGAAAAACGACACCAUUCGCAAAAUUGAAAAUUUAAAAAAACACAUUAUCAAACAUCAUGAAGUUGAUGACUUGUAAACAUCACAACACAAGUCCUUUUCGACGGAAAGUUGAAGUUAGGAUCUUCAGAUCAAAUCACUGCAAACGAUAUCAAUUCGGCGUAGAAAUGAAAUCAUCAUUGUUACUCACAAAAAGAUGUAGUCAUUAUUGCAUCUGCUUCGACUGAUGAUAACUUAAGAGCAAAAAUUACGGCGGGUCUGUUUUCUUUUUCUAUUCACAUUUGCGCCAACGUGAGAAUGCAAACAUCUUUAAAAAAUGUCCGUUCCAUUCGAAAAGAAAGACAUUUUCGGCAAACAAAACGGAAUCUAGAUAGAUAAACGUGAUGAAAUAGAAUCAAAAAUGAAACGAUCAAACAAAAUUUAAGUCUCGUAUGGGGAUUUCGUGUGAUUUCUAUGUGAACCAACGCGGAUACAUUUUGACUUUGAAGGCUCAAUUGGAACAAACAGAAAAAAAAUGAUGAAGAUUAUCACAUUCGGCGAAACUAGCAGCAAAUGCUCAAUAAAUCAGGAGAGAAAAAAAACAGUUCAAUGAUUCCGCUUUUCGACAGCCAAUAGCAGCAACUGAGAAUAUAAAUCAAAAAAUGCCCACAAACAAACAACCAAAGAGAAGAAAAAAAACAGACACACACACACACACACACACUGGAAUCCUUCAGUUCACAUCAAUCCUGGGCAAUCAACACCACACAGUCCGAACGAUGAUUGUAAGAUACGGAUAUGCGUGCGGUUACAGCAUUGUCGCGUGUGAAUUCGUUAGAUACAUCGGCAUACGAAAUUCGAAUUACCAAUCUACUGAGAUGGCAUCAAAGCGCAAUCUAUCAUCGAAACCGUCUUUGUAGUCAGUCAUCAAUACACCGAUCAAAUCACACACGAAUCCGGCCAUCCAUCUAAACAUAAAACGUGACGAAUACGUCUUUUUUUCUGCUGAGAGUGGAAAACAAAGAAAAAUACACUUUCCUCCCCCCCCCUCUCGAAGACAGCAUCAGCAACCAACUCGUUCAAAUGUAAUGUCAUCAUUUGCACCAACCACCAAUUUGAAGAGGCAACCGACAAAAGAAAAACAGAGCAUAAAAAUCGACAUUCGCAAGCAUCCAAUGAAAAUCAAAAUCUUACGCCAAAAAAAAAAAUCACACUAUUGAACACAUUGUUCAAAAGAUACGAUACCACAAAUCUAACCGAAACUCCGAAGAAGACACAAAAAACAAACAAACAAAUGAGACCAUCCGAAAGAAAGCGCACAUUGAAUGGAAUUCCGUUUGUUAUGAUUACCCGCAGUGCGACACUGUCAAAAAAUACGCUAGACAAAAUGACGAAUAGAAUUUUUUUAUGCUCUUUUAUCCGAUGCCGAUAAGCAUACGCGUUACGUUUGUCUCCUCUUCGCGAUCGCAGUUCCCAAUGGUAUGGAUUUGUACGAGAAUGUGCAAAUGCAUUUGAAUACAGCAAAAGGAAGCGAGAGAGUGAGAGUGAGAAAUAGCAUGAACACAAAGCGGCACAGAUCAGCAACUAAAGCCAAAGCAAACUAGAACCAACACAAUCAUCAACCACAACAACAAAUAGAAUUAAUAAACUUGCGAACAAAGUAAGCGCGAAACGGUGAAAUAAGCAUGUUGCUGAUAUUGUGCCGCCAAUCAUGAUGAUGACGACGACGACGGCGGUGUUAACACGAGACGAAGAACAUCGAGUCGACGGCGAUGACGACGACGGCAACGAAACUGUUUGUGAUUUUUUCUCCAUAAAACACAAUUUAACACUCGCAUCACAGCUUUUCAAAACAGUCGAGUACAAUUGUGCGCUUUGCUUAAGCAAACGUUCAAAUCAAAUGCAAAUGCAUUUGUGCAUCCGGUUCAAAGCAUUUUUUCGCAAAGCUAAAUUGCGGCGCGCUCGCAUACAACCAGCCAGCCACAUCACACACUCACCACGUCAUGCCACAACCGCAACGGCGUACUAUUUUUUCCGGCUUUCCUUUGCAUUCCACAUUGCGAACAAUCACGACAGAGUGAAAACUUUGCGAAAGCAUUCGAACAAAUAAUAACACCAAACAGAUGAAGAAAAAAAAAGAACCAACAAACACACACACAGACACACAAAAUAGCGAUAGCAGCUUCAAUUUGGCGGCAGAGAGGCAACAGGAGACGAACAUACACAGAGAGAGAGAGAGAGAGAGAGAGAGAGAGAGAGAGAGAGAGAGCGAGAGAGAGAGAAAGAAAGAUAGAGUUUCAGAUCCACAUUUAGCCAUGUUCUGUGCAAAUGUUGAUAUUCAUAUAUUUUUUCUUUGGAAAAUGCACCACUGUUCUGCAAAACAUCAAAAACACCAUCAGGAUGAAAACAGAGGAAGAGAAAAGGCCCACUGAAAACUUUCGAGUUCAUUUUGAUUUUUAAAAUAAAAAAAGCGACAUCCAAAACACAAAAAUCAAGUCACAACUUCUAACAAUCACAACACCUCGCACAACGCACGCACACACACACACACACACAUCCGCAUUAAUUUAGACGCUUGCUCACGAACACGGUUUGUUAUUUCAACUCUUAAUUUUCAUUUUCAAUCAGUAAAUUGUUUGCACUCGUUUUUCGUUCAUUUUUUUCUUUUCGGCUUUUUAUUUCGAUUCAUUCAAAAUGUUAAAUUCAUCGCUUUUUUUUGUUCUCGAUUACUUUUUUUCCAUCUUUUUUGUUGUUGUUGUUGUUGUUGUUGCCGCCUCUUUUGGCACACGCAAUGCAUCCUCGAACUGCCGAACGAAAAAAAAAUAUAUCAAUGAAUUUGCCAAAAUUGUGUUUUUGUUUAAAAAUAAAAAACAAAUCACAAGAAAAAAAGAAGAAAUUGAAAUUGACUUUGCAUACACCGCCACCACCAUUAUCUGGAUAUACCAAAAAUGAGCAUUUUUCUAUCCAAACGAUCAAAGAAUCAGAAUGAGAUGAGAAUUUUAAAUUAUCAUUUUGUUUUUACUUUGGCAUUCAUUUCAAAAAGGAUCCACUCACAUUUACUCUAUUAACCCUAAUUUCUAUUAAUACUUCUUUUUAAAUUUCUGUCUAGUUUUAAGCAGUUUUCUUCAUUUUUGCCCUUCUAGUUUAAUGUUUUUUUUUCGUGUGCUUAGAUUUAGGGUUUUUCUUCCUUCAUGGAAUAGGCUUUGAGUGAACAGCAAAAUGAAUAGGGAUUGAUGAGCGUGAAAACGAGCGAGAGAGAGAGAGAGAGAGAGAGAGAGAGAGAGAGAAAGGGAGAAAUAGAGUGCAUGUUAAAUAACAAUACGUAAUAAAUUUGGAAAAUAGCAUGAUUCACACUAACCAAACCAAACCAAUAUACAACAAUCAAUAAUGAAAAAUGUUUGGCUUGAAAAAAAGAAAAAAUCGUGUGAACACGAUCGAAAAAAGAACAAACACACACACACAUUCAGCGUGCAUACCAAAUGCCAGCACGUAAAUAUUUGGAAAUCAAUGAUGGUCAGUUGUUAUUGUUAAUCAUUCAAGUUGUUAAGUUGUUGUCAUUGUUGAAUCAAUCUGUUAUCGAAUUUUAUUGUUACUCGUUACAAUGUUACCCCAUGUUGUUGAUUGUUCUUUGUUUGAAAAAUUCUCUGUUUUGCAUGUUUGUUAAUGUUAUUGAAUAUGCAGUUAAAAUUGAAAUCGAGAGUAUCCAAUUGCGUACGCGAAUCUGUUAAAUUUUCUUGUUUUGUUUUCUGCUCGUUAUUGUUAUUGCAUCGUUUCGGUUUUUGUUGAAGUUCAUUGUUAAAAUCCAAUUGUUGAAAUUGUUAACUUUUGUUUUGUUUGUUGUUAAAUUCAUCAACCUUUAUUAUGAUGUUAUCCUGUUGGCCCCAUCGCCAGAAAAGACAAUUGCAAAAAAAUUCCAAAUCCAAAUUUUGUUAUGAAUCAUUUUCGUUUUCUGUUAUUUUGUUGCCGUUUAUCGUUUAUGUUUUUCAUUAAGUUAAACGAAUAAUUGAGCCAGCCAUUUAAUUGACACUCAAUUACUAAAUUACUAUCGAUAAUUAAUUUUCUACUUUUAGUUUUGGCUUACGUUUUUUUUCCCUUCAAUUCAAAUUCAAUUCUUAAUAUUUUUUUCUUUUCUUUCCGUAUCGAACCAAAAACAAAACUCCCAUAAAUAUCCUAAAUUAAGGUUUCUGAUCUAGAAUUAGGCAUUCAAAAAUGGCUGUUUCUCUAAAUCUAAAAUAUUCUCAAAAAAUUUCUUGUUUCCUGACUCAAUUAGACGAAUAACGUUUAAAUCAGGGCAAAACAACAUCUAAAUUUUUUCUUUCUUAAGUAUUCAAAAUUUUCCCAUUUUCCAAAACAAAUCCCAAGUUUUUCUUAAGUUGUAAUUUCGGUUCCUUAUUAAGUUUACGUUUGUUUCGGUUUAAAUUGUUUUCUGUUUAAUUUCAUUGUUUUCGUUAUUGAUUUCGUUUUUGUUUUGUUUUGUUUUGUUUUGUUUGAAUCCAAUGAAAAAUGAGCUUUUUCGUAAUAUUGGCAUAGCUCUCCUUGAGGAGUUUGCUAUGGCACUGCUAUGUACUCGGUUUCGGUGUUGGAUUUAUUGUUAAUUGUUCGAGAAAUACACACACCUGAAAUUUGAUCGGGAAUGCCUAGCCCGAAUUACAUGCCGUUCAUAUUACGACAGACUUCAUUUGCUUGUUAUUCGUUGAUUUUGUGUUAUUUUUUCUGUUUUGUUUUUGUUUUUCUUCCUCUUCUGUUCCAAUCUUUCUGUUACUGUUUUCCUCGUUUCGUUUUUGUUGCACAUGGAGAAAAAAAGUGACAUGGAAAAUUUUUGCAAUUGUGUUUCCAGGACGAUUUGCUCGAAAUGUUCACUGUUGACGAGUUGAAUCUGUCUGGAGAUCAUCAUAGUAUGGCUCAUUCCGUUGUAAUUACAUCGAUUUCAAUUGUUAACGCUGUUUUGUUUUGUUUUGUUGAAAUGUUGUUUAAGUUUUUCCAUAUUGAUAAUUGUGUUAAGUUUGAUGUUUCUUCUGUUGAGCUCUGUUUCUAUAAUGAACAUUCACCACCAACGUUCAUUCACCAGAGCAUUUGUUUGGAAAAAAAAGAAAAAAAUUGAAAAAAAAAAAUCAAAAAAUCAGUUAACAAAAAUUCAAAGAGAUUCACAUUUGGUUUAAAUACCAUACAUCUCCAUGUAAUCCAACACAUAACGCUCGUUCUUCGGAUGGAAAUGUUGACGAUUCAAAAUUAGCGAUAAACUUUUACCAGUGUUUGAAAAGCACAACGAAUAUCCACCAUAUUCAGAGCUCAUUUCAAUUGACUUAUGCAGUGUGUAAGCAAAACAAGCACUUUCGUAUGCUUGUGCAUUGGUUGUUUGUUAUGCGUGCGUCUUAUAAUGUCUUGACUUGAAUUGGUUUCUGGAAUCGUUAGUGAGUUUUAAUGAGUUAAUAGUACUUCAUAGUUUCUUUCCAUCUUUUGCUUCAAAAUUUUCAUUUAUCUUGAUAAUUAAUGUUAAGCUCUUCUUCACUUUGAUUUCAUUUCUUUCUAUCUUUGAUAUACUGCUGUUUUUUCGUUUGAUAUAAUUCUUGUUAGUUUGAGUGUGCGUGAGUGCGUUUUUCUAUCUAUAUCUACAAAUUUUAAGCUUUAAUUCACAUUUACCUAGGUUUAUGUCAUUUUACUCAUAUUGAAUUUCAUUAAAAUAUUCUUUAGCUCUAUAUUAGCCUUAAGUCAAUCGCGUGAGAUCCUCUUGAGAAAUGAUAUUUUGUUUUCGAAGAAGAAAAAAACGAAAUUCAUAUUUUGCUACAGAACAUUCAGAAUCAUUGCACUGGAAAACCAAACAACAACCAAAUUACUGACAUCGAAUUGUGUGUAAACAAAGCCAUUACGCAUAUGUUUGAUAUCAUGAGGAAAAAUAAAGCUCAUUUGGUUCGACUCAUUUUAUUCUUCGGUUUAGGAUAGCAAAAAUGCUCAUUCAAAAAGUUCCGUGUACAGUAAACAAUUGGUAAAAAAAGAGAUUCAUUCGAUGCCACAUAUACAACCAAUGUAAGAAUUCAAAACAAAAAUUAAAAUUAUUUCGCAGUCUCGAUGCAAAACGUGCCGAAACGUGCAUAAACAACGACAAAAGCCCACAAAAGAGAUUUAAACGAUUGAAAUGAUACAACCGUUGUGUUGCAAGCGCUAGAAAUUCGGAUGCAUACGUUUAAACAAUAGCUUUAUUCAAUGAUUCGAUCCAUUCAUUUUGGAAAUAAUUGGCAUUUAUCAAUCUAACUGGCUUGAAUGAAAAACAAAAAGUAAAAACACCAAAAAAUUAUUGCAUAAGCACUAACCCCAAACAUUGUAUAUAUAUUAACAAAAACCAAUUAUGUACAAAGUUUUGAACAAAGUGAAGAAAAAAAACAUAACAUUUCGGCUAGAAAUAACCCAAAAACGAUGAAAUCAAAUUCAAAUGCAAAAUUCUAAGUCCAACAUCGAAUAACCAUUAAGGAUACUGGAAUAAAACUGCGUUCGAAAAAAAAGUACUCCAUAAAAAAGAGGAAGAAAAAAACAAGAAAGUGUUGCACAAUCGCUUACCACAUUGAAAUUUCGAAUAAUUUGAAAUUCGAAGAGAGAAAGAGAGACGCAACCAAUAAUUGUUAUUUAGUUUUUGUAAGUGUUAUCUUGUUGUUGCACAAUACAAUGUUGACUAGUCUGUAAGGUGGCAGAGCUAGCUCUGCCAAACGAAACAUUGUUAUUUAGUUUAGUAAGGUUGUACAUGAAAAUCUUCCGUUUUUUUUUAAACAAAUUAUUCAUGAUAUGCAUUUCAAAGCAACGAAACCAAUUAUCGACCAUAUUUUCUGUUCUCUCUGUAUCAUUUGGAAAGUUUCUUUUAUGUCAUUUACUUCCAUUAUUUUUCUCAUUCAUUUCAUUAUCAUUUUAUUUUCUUUUUUUCGUUUUGACAUUCUAUCCGUUUCGCGACAAAUUGGCAUUAUCAUUUUGUAAAUUAACUUUAAUAAUUUUAUGUUUAUCAUUAUUAUUUUGUAUCAGUUCGACUCGUUUUGUUCAAACAAGAGAAUUACCAUUUCCCGAAGCAAAAUUCUAUUUUCUUCUGAUUUUCUGUUUAUAAUGUUAAAAAUUUGCAUGUUCGAUUAUGGCUCUGAAGAAAGGCACAAACGGAGAUUUUCGUUGAACAAAUUUUGUUUUUAUUGUUGUCGUUAAGUUGUUUUUCUUCUGUUUUUGUUUUUGUUUUUGUUAAAAUUGAAAAUGCAUUGUUAUUUGUUGAAUUAAAAAAAAAAAUUGUUACACAUUGUUAAGUUUUGAAAGCGCGACUGGCAAUGUUGUGCGAUUGAAGCAUUCGACCAAAUGCAUUCAAUGCAACAUUCAGUCGUGCGAUUCGAUGACAAAAAAAAGUACCAUCCAACGUCACGGAUCGAAGACAACGAUGCAAAAUAUGGCCACGCGACACGAAAGCAAUUUAAACAUCCAAACUGACCACAUCUAGAAUAUUUUGCGCCGUUUCGUGUGGCAAUAUUGUUGCGUUCAAACACCAUCAAAUUGAUUUCCACGCAUUUUUUCAAGCAAACAAAUAAAUAAAUGCUUAAGCAUCAAUAAAAUAAGAAAAAAAAACAUCCGCCAAAAACAUCGAAAAAGUAAAAAAAAGGGAAGUUACACACACACAACUCGAACCAAAGGGAUGAAUAACGAAAAAAACAACAACAACAACUACAACGAAAUUAUCAUUGUGCUGCACGUUUACAAUCCAGCCACACAAUGUCUCGACACAAUUUCCAACACAAUGAACCGACACACCCAAGUGCCUUUGUUAACCAUUUCAUUGGAAAUUCACAUUUCUUCGCAAAACAACGAAUUAAAAUAAACGGGUUUGAAUUACAUUUGUGAAUCAUGAGCGAACAACAACAAUGCGGCAUCAACUCGCAGAAGAAGAAAAAAUCAUGUAAACCGCAAAAACAGGAAGAAAAUGAGAUGAAAAUUAAAAUGGAAUAAAGUGAAAAAAAACAUCCCUUCAUCGAACCAUCCAUUUGUUUCGGCGAACAGAUGGAAAGAGACAAAGUCAACAUCUAACGGAAACUGAACGUAUCGAAGUUUCUGAAAGAUGAUGUCAAAGAGAAACGAAACAAAGAAGAAGACACACAAAACAUCAACCAACUAAAAUCGAUCAUGUCGAGAGAGAAAGAUGAGAAAAAAAUGUGCUCCAUGAGAAAAAAAAAAUGUAGCAAUGUAAUUCAAUGAAAUCGCUCUCAAUCUCUCCAACUUUUUUCUAGAGCCGGUCAUUAGGCAAACAUGAUUUAGUAUGCCAUGCAAGCGCUUUUCAUUAAAUCUUGAUGAACUUUGAUUCAAAUUGAUGUUGAAGUCGGAAAUGAAAAUUGCGCCCCGCUUCCAAUAUUCACAUGACAUCGAACGGGACUGCCACGGCAGUAACAUACCAACGAAAAAAAAAUCAUGCAUUAUUUUCUGCUGCGUCAGAAAAUUUGACCAAAACGAGAAAGAAAGAAACCAUCAAUACCAAAAGAUGCUACCGACGACAAAUACACACACAAAUACGAACAGAAAUAGAACAUCGUCGAUAGCAUUGGCGCAAAGUCAAAUUUCCAAAUUUAAACAAAUAACCAAACAAAAAAAAAUACACAUGCGAUUUCCAGGAAAAUCACACAAAACUUUCUAUCGCAUUCAAAAUUUAUGUUUCGUUUGAGCAUAUAUUCAUUUGGACAGAAUAUCACCGAUAUACAAUCCAGCCGAAUCACAAAUUUUCAACAUCAACACAUUUUAUUCAACACAAUUCCGGCAUUUCCAUCCUGAAUUCAUGGACGGAAUAGAAGGUUUUGGACAGUUAUAAAUUAAUUUACGAAUUACCAUCAACACGUAAGCAUUUAAGCUAAACGACAAAAUGUUAAUGAACUACAUACAUACAUUUAAAUUUACCAACAACAUCAGAGAAAAAAAGUAAACGUUUAAGCAAAAAACGAACAAACAAACAAACAAAAAACAUUGUAUAAGCACAUUCUGUAAUCAUGUUUAGGGCCCGCUCAAACACUGUACAAAAACACAUUCGAACAAGUAUGUCCACAAAACUCAAAUAAAUUAUAAAUGCGAAAACGAACGCAAAUUGUC